rnacentral:rRNA from 1 species
CCUACGGGUGGCAGCAGUAGGGAAUCUUCCACAAUGGGCGAAAGCCUGAUGGAGCAACGCCGCGUGGGUGAAGAAGGUCUUCGGAUCGUAAAACUCUGUUGUUAGAGAAGAAAGUGCGUGAGAGUAACUGUUCACGUUUCGACGGUAUCUAACCAGAAAGCCACGGCUAACUACGUGCCAGCAGCCGCGGUAAUACGUAGGUGGCAAGCGUUAUCCGGUUUUAUUGGGCGUAAAGGGAACGCAGGCGGUCUUUUAAGUCUGAUGUGAAAGCCCUCGGCUUAACCGGAGUAGUGCAUUGGAAACUGGGAGACUUGAGUGCAGAAGAGGAGAGUGGAACUCCAUGUGUAGCGGUGAAAUGCGUAGAUAUAUGGAAGAACACCAGUGGCGAAAGCGGCUCUCUGGUCUGUAACUGACGCUGAGGUUCGAAAGCGUGGGUAGCAAACAGGAUUAGAUACCCCUGUAGUC